GGCCCUCUGGCGCAACGGUAGCGCGUUCGACUCCAGCUCCAUCACCAAUAGUGGCAUCGAAAGGUUAUCUGUUCAAAUCAGGUGGGGGUCA
rnacentral:tRNA from 1 species